UACGUAGGGUGCAAGCGUUGUCCGGAAUUAUUGGGCGUAAAGAGCUCGUAGGCGGUUCGUCACGUCGGCUGUGAAAUCCCGAGGCUCAACCUCGGGUCUGCAGUCGAUACGGGCGGACUGGAGUACUGCAGGGGAGACUGGAAUUCCUGGUGUAGCGGUGAAAUGCGCAGAUAUCAGGAGGAACACCGGUGGCGAAGGCGGUUCUCUGGGCCUGUUCUGACGCUGAGGAGCGAAAGCGUGGGGAGCAAACAGG
rnacentral:rRNA from 1 species